UACGUAGGUCGCAAGCGUUGUCCGGAUUUACUGGGCGUAAAGAGCGCGCAGGCGGCUGGUCAAGUCCGAUGUGAAAUCUCCCGGCUCAGCUGGGAAACUGCAUCGGAAACUGAUCGGCUUGAAGAUGGGAGAGGGUAGUGGAAUUCCCGGUGUGAGCGGUGAAAUGCGCAGAUAUCGGGGAGGAACACCUAUGGCGAAGGCAGCUCGCUGGGACGUUACUGACGCUGGAGACGCGAAAGCGUGGGGAGCAAACAGG
rnacentral:rRNA from 1 species